AUUGCGUGAAGAAUGAAAAUGGACAUGAGGAGGUUUCAGGGCGAUUGGCACUGAGGGGACUGGGAUAUGAAUUGUUAUAGGUGGUAGCCUGGGUAGCAUUUGGCUCUGGAAGUAGACUGUUUCAAUAAAUUUGUUUGGUUCUUGCAAGGAAGGGAGGAGGGGAAGGGGCCGAUGCGAAAUAGUGAUGGGCUUAUUGUACGAAUGCUGCUUUCUAUUUCCGUGAUGUGGUGUUAGAUGUUGUGUUUUUAUUUUAUGGGAUGUGGCUCUUGAUCUAUUUGGCGUUGUCAUCCACAAAGUGUGAAAAAAAUAAAGAAGCUCAAGGGUUCCAGGAAGGAAAUGAUCGAGCUGGGCCAGCAAACUCACACAAGAGUAGCUACGAAUACAUAUCAAGGCAAACAGAGGAGGCCUGGCUAGGCUACCCCAUGAUUUUGAUUCUAUCCAUGCCAUAUCGGGGAGG
rnacentral:sRNA from 1 species